rnacentral:rRNA from 1 species
UACAGAGGUCUCAAGCGUUGUUCGGAAUUACUGGGCGUAAAGGGUGCGCAGGCCGCGCGGGCAGUCAAAUGUGUAAUUCAGGGGCUCAACCCCUGCACUGCGCUUGAUACUUCCGCGCUCGAGCUUUGGAGAGGAGUCUGGAAUUCUCGGUGUAGCAGUGAAAUGCGUGGAUAUCGAGAAGAACACUUAGGGCGAAGGCAAGACUCUGGACAAAUGCUGACGCUCAUGCACGAAGGCUAGGGUAGCGAAC